rnacentral:tRNA from 1 species
GGGCGAGUGGCGGAAAGGCAGACGCAGCGGACUUAAAAUCCGCCGACUAUAUGUCAUGUGGGUUCGACUCCCACCUCGCCCACCA